CUCUCUCUCUCUCUCUCUCAUCGUCCAACCUUACAGGAAUCUCUUACUAUUUCACAUAUAUCUUUUUCUGCACCAAACUCGUAUCAGUCUUUUUAGUGUCAUCCCCGAGUGUUCGAUGAAAAUCCCAAACCAUCUUGAAAAUCAUUUACGCAACAUCCGUAACUGGACUCUAACUAACAGUCACAUUGCAUAUUCACUAGUUUGAGCAAUGUAGAACUUCAGGCCCCUCGACAAUUGAUACCGCCUGUUGGUCUUGGUGAUUUUACCCGUUGUGGUGGUGGGUUCGAUGGGGUUACUCUGCAAAUUUGGCAGUUUUGCUUGUUUAAGCGAUCGGGUUUGCUUGUUUAAGUGAACAUUUCUUGCUGCACGGUAGCUGUUUACUUUUGCUGAUCAGCGGAGCGGUCAGCGGGCAUGUGUCCUAAAAAGUUAUUUGAUCUUAAUUUGCUAUUUUCUUACCUUUCAUAUCUUUCUUGUGGAGGGACAAUUAUAGUGGUUUCUGGCUUGAUCAAGAACUUCACGUUCACGGCUCAGGGUUGUCUUUGCAAUAAUCCGGAGUAUGUCCGUCAAAUGUUUUCGUCAUUCCCUGCAAAGAAAUUGGUUUAACCUGCUUUCUCCGUUGGGGGUGUGUGCCUAUCAUUUUCCUUUUACUUAUCCCUCUUUUUCAACUUCCUCCAUCUGAUUUACUGUCAAAUAUACAAUUCCCACUUUCAAUUACCAUGGUUCUUGGAUGACUUCUGAACAGAAUAUCUAAAUUAAAAAAUUAUUUUUUGCUCAGAGGAAUGACUUUGGACAUGAUAAAUUAUACAGUUUAUAUGGGUAAAAGCAUGGAUUAGCUGAGCGAAUUGUGACUAGUUUGUUUAUUUGAUUGUUUACAUAGUUUAAGUUGUUUAACGUGUUAAAACUUUGCCACGUGAACCAAAGGUCAACUCUUUUGAAUGCGUGGUUUGAUUUUUUUUCCCUUCCUUUUCUUGUGCAGCAGACUUUGCAAAGGUGUGAGUAUCCUACUGUCAAAGAAUUCAGCUUGUAACUAGUGUUGAUUUCACAUAAUGUCAAGUGGGACUGGGCUUGAACCUCUUGUAGAUCCAUAUGCAAUCCUCAAAUCUGUUUUAAUGGAGUUUUAAAAGGUUUUGAUCAGGCCAAAAAUAGAAUCCUUGAUGAAUCUCAUGAGCGGGUUUACUCCACAAAGAUACAUUUGGCUAUGAGCGGAGCUGUAGUGGGGCAGGCGAGGGGCCCAGCCCUACCCAUUUUCUUAAAAGCUAAUAUUAGGUAUAUGUCAUA